rnacentral:rRNA from 1 species
UCGGGAAUUUUGCGCAAUGGACGAAAGUCUGACGCAGCAACGCCGCGUGAGGGAUGAAGGCCUUCGGGUUGUAAACCUCUUUUCUCAGGGACGAUGAUGACGGUACCUGAGGAAUAAGUCACGGCUAACUACGUGCCAGCAGCCGCGGUAAUACGUAGGUGGCUAGCGUUGUCCGGAUUUACUGGGCGUAAAGAGCGCGCAGGCGGUCGUUCAAGUCGAGUGUGAAAGCCCCCGGCUCAACUGGGGAGGGUCACUCGAUACUGAUCGACUUGAAGGCGGGAGAGGGAAGCGGAAUUCCCGGUGUAGUGGUGAAAUGCGUAGAUAUCGGGAGGAACACCAGUGGCGAAGGCGGCUUUCUGGCCCGUUCUUGACGCUGAGGCGCGAAAGCUAGGGUAGCAAACGGGAUUAGGAUACCCCGGUAGUCCCUAGCCGUAAACGAUGGACACUAGGUGUUGGCGGUAUCAACCCCGCAGUGCCGAAGCUAACGCAUUAAGUGUCCCGCUGGGGAUACGG